rnacentral:lncRNA from 1 species
GUUUUUAAUCAACAAAUAGAAGUUCCUGUGUAUGUUUCAUGCACAAAUGCAUGGAUGUUGUCGUAUAUUUUCGUUUCCGGCUUUACCAAGUGGGUAGAAUCUAGACAUUAUCGUGUUUUUACCUCCAAAUUGAAGAGUUCAAGUGCUACCAUUGGUCAAGAAUAAUGUAUUCGGAAUGGGCGUGACUUUAAUCUUCCGAUAGAUGGCGCGACAUUGAUAUCACAAAUGUUGGCUCAAUCUGCCAAGGGUGAAGAGAGCGGGAGUGGAUUGUAACCCUUGGCUAGCGAAGAUGA